GGGGCAGCUCAUUUGACUUGUGUAUAAGAGAACAAAACUUAUUAAUUGUAUAGUGGUCCUUGGAACAGGGCUAUUGUUAUCUAAGUUGGAUGUUAUUAUGCUAUCAGAUGUAGAUGAUCUAGUUUCAGCGAUUAACCAUUUAUUUCCAGCAUAGGAUGCUUCUGUUGAGGACCCUUCUUUUUCCUCCGUCUCAUCUGCUAUUGUAAUGGCUUCGUCUUAGACGACAGCAAUUUACCAACGUAAAAG
rnacentral:misc_RNA from 1 species